GACGAACGCUGGCGGCGUGCUUAACACAUGCAAGUCGAACGGAAAGGCCCUGCUUUUGUGGGGUGCUCGAGUGGCGAACGGGAGAGUAACACGUGAGUAACCUGCCCUUGACCUUGGGAUAACUUCAGGACACUGGGGCUAAUACCGGAUAGGAGCUCCUGCUGCAUGGUGGGGGUUGGAAAGUUUCGGCGGUUGGGGAUGGACUCGCGGCUUAUCAGCCUGUUGGUGGGGUAGUGGCUUACCAAGGCUUUGACGGGUAGCCGGCCUGAGAGGGUGACCGGCCACAUUAGGACUGAGAUACGGCCCAGACUCCUGCGGGAGUCAGCAGUGGGGAAUAGUGCGCAAUGGGCGGAAGCCUGAUGCAGCAACGCCGCGUGCGGGGUGACGGCCUUCGGGUUGUGAACCGCUUUCGCCUGUGACGAAGCGUGAGUGACGGUAAUGGGUAAAGAAGCACCGGCUAACUACGUG
rnacentral:rRNA from 1 species